UACUUAUCUGGAUGGAGUCUAUUUGGUCCAU
rnacentral:piRNA from 1 species